AGCCAAUUGGGACUAAUUUAGACUGUGGGGUCCAACCCUAGCCAACAGGGGAAAGACACAGCAGAAACUGUGUUAGAGAUAAUUAAAACCCCUGCUUUUCUUUGUUCUGGGUGCUCUCGCCGUUGGUGCAUCUGUGAAACACACCCUCCUAUGGGAGUAAAUUGCCUUUCUGAGAGAAUUUUUGUCUCAGUGCUGGUUCUUCUUUGCGGCACUGAGCAUUUAUUUCCAACAAAUUUAGUGGCCCAUAUGGGGAAACUAAUCCUCCCCUGGGAAAGGGUCUCUGAUCGCCUCUCGUGAGGAGACACGUCCCGCUGCCUUGUUGUGGCAGCCACAGUGUGAUGAAUAAACCUGGACUGUCAGCAAUGCAGGAAGAAAAGGCCUUCAGUUACUGGGGCAAUCGGAUAACUCUGUGCACAGACCAAGAGCUGAAGACCGCCUUUUAGUACAGCUGCCACCCCUGGAGCUCCCAGCACACCUGCGUCAACCUGGAAAUCACGUUCUGAUUAAGAGCUGGAGAGAAGGAAAACUCGAACCGGCUUAGGAAGGACCCUACCUAGUGCUUCCAACUACUGAGACCACAGUAUGAACAGCAGAAAGAGGGUGGACUCACCAUACUUGAGUCAAGAAAGUGCCACCAUCUUUAGAGUCAUAGACCAUUGUUCUAGGAUCAAGUCCCAACAAACUAAAGCUAAGGAAAGUCUCACCCUCUUAUAUCUCUUUUAUUGUCUCUGCUUCUUCCCUCACUCCACUGUCAGCGCCCCCCACCAAAACUAUUGUGUUUGAUGCUUAGCCAUACCCUGUGGAGACCUACAAAGUCAAAGGCAACCAGCCUCUUCAGAAAAGUAUCUUUGCCCUUAGUACUCACCCCACUCUCAACAUAAUCCUUGUAAAAUUCCUUAUCAUUGGCUACCUUGCUAUUCCCGGUAUGAUAUUCUCUGGACCACUCAGUCCCAGGGCUAGGCUUCCUCAGAAGGCUGUACCUCCCUAAAACCUUACCUUCAUUUUACUAAAGGAACUACACCUGUUAUUCCUAUAACUAAUGAGAAAACCAAGGUGUCCAUUAUAAAAGUAAAAGAUCUAAAACAAACCCUAGCAAUGGAGACAGGAUACCGAAGUACAAAUGCCUGGCUGGAAUGGAUUAAAUAUUCCAUCCGCACCCUAAGCAAAAGCGACUGUUACACUUGUGUGCACGGUAGACCAGAGGCCCAGAUCAUCCCCUUUCAACUUAGUCUCCCCACUGACCAGGCACGAGCUGUAAGGUAGCUCUUUUUCAAGACCCCCACAGCCUGGGAAGACAAAUCGGGCCAAGCUCUUUCUCUGCUGUUCCCAGAAGUUUCGACAUCCUGUGGGUCAGGCCCCAGAGGCCAUCCAGCCUCCGCCUUCCAAUGCCAAGUUUACCUCAUGUCUCUGAUGACAGGGAAGAAACGUAGCAUUCCUUGGAGACUUAAAGGGAUGCAAAGAGCUUAGGCCCUUCCAAUAGCUUACCCAUCAGUUUGCCCUUAGCCAUCCCCAAGCGGAUAUAUGGUGGUAUUGUGGUGGACCCCUGCUGGACGCUCUGCCAAGCAAAUGGAGCGAAACUUGUACUCUAAUUCUAUUGGCUAUCUCUUUCACCCUUGUAUUUCAUCAACCUGAGAAAGUAAAAGCAAAGGUCUGUAAGCCGAGAGAGACCCCUUGUGAGUCUUUUGAUCCUCAGGUUUAUAUAAAUGCCAUCGAGUUUCCAUGAGGAGCACCAAAUAAAUUUAAAG
rnacentral:lncRNA from 10 species